GGGGUGUUUGGCUCAGUGGAAAGAGCACUUGCCUAGCAUGUGUGAGGCACUGGGUUCAAUUCUCAGCACUGCA
rnacentral:tRNA from 1 species